GAUGAACGCUGGCUACAGGCUUAACACAUGCAAGUCGUGGGGAAACGGCAUUAUGUGCUUGCACAUUCUGGACGUCGACCGGCGCACGGGUGAGUAUCGCGUGUCCAACCUGCCCCUUACUUGGGGAUACCCCGUUGAAAGACGGCCUAAUACCCGAUGUGUUUCAUUGACGGCAUCCGAUAUGAAACAAAGGUUUUUCCGGUAAGGGAUGGGGAUGCGUCUGAUUAGCUAGUUGGCGGGGCAACGGCCCACCAAGGCGACGAUCAGUAGGGGUUCUGAGAGGAAGGUCCCCCACAUUGGAACUGAGACACGGUCCAAACUCCUACGGGAGGCAGCAGUGAGGAAUAUUGGUCAAUGGACGCAGGUCUGAACCAGCCAAGUAGCGUGCAGGAUGACGGCCCUAUGGGUUGUAAACUGCUUUUAUGUGGGAAUAAAUUGGCGCACGUG
rnacentral:rRNA from 1 species